rnacentral:rRNA from 1 species
AGUGAACGCUGGCGGUAGGCCUAACACAUGCAAGUCGAACGGCAGCACAGUAAGAGCUUGCUCUUACGGGUGGCGAGUGGCGGACGGGUGAGGAAUACAUCGGAAUCUACUUUUUCGUGGGGGAUAACGUAGGGAAACUUACGCUAAUACCGCAUACGACCUACGGGUGAAAGCAGGGGAUCUUCGGACCUUGCGCGAUUGAAUGAGCCGAUGUCGGAUUAGCUAGUUGGCGGGGUAAAGGCCCACCAAGGCGACGAUCCGUAGCUGGUCUGAGAGGAUGAUCAGCCACACUGGAACUGAGAAACGGUCCAGUCUCCUACGGGAGGCAGCAGUGGGGAAUAUUGGACAAUGGGCGCAAGCCUGAUCCAGCCAUACCGCGUGGGUGAAGAAGGCCUUCGGGUUUAAAGCCCUUUUGUUGGGAAAGAAAAGCAGCAGGUUAAUACCCCGCUGUUCUGACGGUACCCAAAGAAUAAGCACCGGCUAACUUCGUG